UCCCGUAGCUUUAUUUCACCCGUAAAAUCAUUUCACCAGUUUCUCUGCACGAAUACCGAGAGAAACCGAGCUGCGUUCUUCGUGUUCUUCGUAAUCAAACGAGGAUUUGAAGGCGUUAUUGGAAUCCGAUGGAGGCGUAUGAAUAGUCAAAACGAAGCUAUCGACGCGUAGAAUCUAGUUUAAUCAUCCGUUUGUGUGCAGAUUCAACAGGUGAUUUUAGAUUAUUUUUAUAAAAUUCGAAUUAUUGAUUUUAAAUGAUAAAUUUUCGUAACUGAUCUUGUUUGAUUGAUUUGAUGAUGUCAUGUUGUAGAGCGUGUUUUUCUCGUCGUUUUGGUAUAUUAUAUGUCGAAUUUUGACUUCGAUAACAUAUAGAAACGUUGGUUUAAUUCUCGGAAUUGUUGUUCUUCGUGUUCUUGGAGGUUUUUGAAGCUUUUUAAUUGAAACUUUUGUUUUUCUAAUCUGUUAAACCUGGGAAAACUCGGAGCACACCAACAGAUUUGUCAUGUCGAAGGGAAUCUAGUUGUAUUUUUAGAUCGUGUGUUUGAACAACAAAUCAGCCUCGCCGGAGUUUUGAAACUCGAACGGCGGUAGCUUCUUUUCGAAGCUUUUCCGGCCAUCUCUGUACAUGGAUGCUUUGUUUGAUGACUGUAAUGAGUUCUUGGCCAUGUAUAGGCCAUUUCUGGAUAGUUUGGGGAGGAGCGGAGGCCGGGAACCGUAGCUCCGGCGAGUCAAGGCGGCGGCGAUGGAAAAUUUCCAUUUAGCCCCCAGACUUUUGAAGAUGGUGAGUUGACUGUAUUGAGGUUUUUAUAUCGACAUUUCAGCCCCUGUAACUUUUAAAGGUUACAGUUUUAACCCUGCGACAAAGUUUUAAACAUUUACACUUUAAACCUUUUUAAGAUUUCAAUUUCUAUAUGCUCAGGAGAAAAUAUAGUUUAUUUAGUUAUGUUCAUAUCGAUUUAUGGAUUGUUAUAUGAUUUUUUGAUCGAUUUAUGGAUUAAAUUGCGUAUAUUUGUAUUUAUUUAUUUUUUAUUUGAUUAUUCGUNUGUUUUUAUUUAUNCCAUAUUAUUAAAUUCAGAUUUGAUUAUUAUAAAUGUAUUUGUCUAGAUAUUAUUGUUGGCUCUAGUUGAAUAUUGAUGUGAUUAUGUGAAUAGUUGUAUGUGAUUAUACUUGUGUUGUGGAUUAAUAUGGAUUAUACUGAUUAUGCGUCCUCCUUCUUUUUCUGAUUCCGAGGACGGAAUCCCUAUAAGGAGGGUAGAUUGUAAUGACCCGGAUUUUUAAAAACAUUUUUAUUAGUAUUAAAAAUGAUUUUUUUAAAGAAAGGAAUAAGAUUUAAUAUUUUAUUCCAGUUUAAGGAUUUUUCAAAAUUUUAUAUUAAACCCCGGGUUAUUGUGUUAUUGAUAAAUGAUUAUAUUUUUAAAACUGAUUUUCAUAUAUUGCUUCGAAAAUUCUAGAUGAUUAUUAUGUGAAUAUAUGUGUGAUGUGAGUAAGUGGUAUUGGUGGAUUUGUUGGUUAAUUAAUUAUGGUUAAUUAUGAGUAUUAUAUGAUUAAUAUAUGAUUUUGUGAAUUUUAUAUUAUCUGGUUUAUUGCGUUAACUGCUCAUAUGUGUUCGUAUUUGAGAGAUUUCAAUUUCUAUAUGCUCAGGAGAAAAUAUAGUUUAUUUGGAUAUUUUCAUAUCGAUUUAUGGAAUGUUAGAUGAUUUUAUAAUUGAUUUACGGAUUUAAUUGCGUAUAUUUAUAUUUAAUUAUUGAUUAUUUGAUUAUUUGAAAACCGUUCACUCGUAACGGCUUAGCGAUUUUUCUUCCCGAAAGUUUCGAGAAAACUCACCUUUAGUCUAAUUUGAAUAUUCCGGACAUUUUUCGUGUUUUGACUUUUUCAUAUUGUUUAGUGACUAUAGUGUUGUCUUAUUCUCGUAAAGGAUUUGGACGAGACGUGUACGCGCGAAGACGUUCAGAAAGUCGACGUGGUAUUGCAAAGCGAAUAAGGGAUGAAUCGAGUAAGCGAAGCGAAGAUGUACGGUAGAUAGAGUAUAGCCAGAGAUGGUCUAGAGACUAUGAGAUGCAUAGAUUGUGAAAGUGGAAAGAUGAGAUUGAGAUGUGAGACUGGAGUCAGAUUUAAGGCAAGUAUCCUGCACCCUGCUUUUGGAUAUAUUGCAUAUAUUCUGAUUCAUUCCUUUUACAUGUGUUGCAAGUAUCCUAAACCUUUCUCUUGGAUAUAUUGCAAAUAUUCUGAUCCAUUCCUUUGGUAUAUGUUUCAAGUAUUCAUACCUUUCUUUUCACUGUUCGAAAGUGCGAGUAUUCUGACCCAUUCUUUCUAAUCUUCAAGUUUCUAAAGAAUUUCCGUUUACAAAUUAAUUCGAAGUUCAGAUUGUCAUUGAAGCAUGUGUUGCUCAGUGAUAGUUAGAGCUUUGAAUGAAUUGGGAUCUUCUUGAUUAUUCA
rnacentral:lncRNA from 1 species